UACGGAGGGUGCAAGCGUUGUCCGGAAUCACUGGGCGUAAAGGCGCGUAGGCGGCUCAUGAAGGCUGUGGUGAAAGUCCGGGGCUCAACCUCGGAUCGGCCGUGGCGACUCGUGGGCUGGAGCACUGUAGAGGCGGGUGGAAUUCCGGGUGUAGCGGUGGAAUGCGUAGAGAUCCGGAAGAACACCAGUGGCGAAGGCGGCCCGCUGGGCAGUUGCUGACACUGAGGCGCGACAGCGUGGGGAGCAAACAGG
rnacentral:rRNA from 1 species